AUUUUCUUAGGGCUUGUCUUCACUACUGGGAGAUCGACGCUGCUGCAAUCGAUGCAGCGGGUGUCAAUUUAGCAGGCCUAGUGAAGAUCGGCAAAAUCGAUGGCAGAGCGGUCUCUGGUUGACUCUGGUACUCCAGCUCCCCAAGAACAGUAAGGUCAGCAUUAAGAAUGGAAGUAGGACUGUAUGGUUUCACCAUCUUGUCUUUGCAGCAAACAUUACCUUAAAAAUGUUGUGCAAGGAAUUAAGAAGAAACUGCACUGAGAGAAAUGUUCAGUGUUUUAGCAGAGCAUUUCACUUUGAAAUCCUACUCAUUGGUGCUGUCCUGUACGUGCAGACAACAAGCAUAACCAAGCCUUAGUGUGGUGAGUAACAAUAUAGCUGUAACCAGCAUGGAGGCAAGAGAGGAAUGUCUCGAUUAAAGGUAAAAUGUUCUAUAAACCCAUAUAGAUCAGAUACAGCAGACUUGAAUUGACUUUUGUGGGGAUUCUGAAAUGUCUUGUGUUACCUCAGUGGAGAUGAGAAAAGGUUGAAGACAUAGAAAAUGUCUAAACUGGUAAGAAUAGCAAGCAUGACUGAAACAAAAAGAGACAGGUAGUAUAUCUGACAAUGCCAAAUCUAAAAUGUUCUUAAUCAUUUACUUAUUCACGGGUUACAGGCAGCAAUACUGAG